GGAAUAUUGGACAAUGGGCGAAAGCCUGAUCCAGCAAUGCCGCGUGAGUGAUGAAGGCCUUAGGGUUGUAAAGCUCUUUUAGUAGGGAUGAUAAUGACAGUACCUACAGAAAAAGCCCCGUCUAACUCCGUGCCAGCAGCCGCGGUAAGACGGAGGGGGCUAGCGUUGUUCGGAAUUACUGGGCGUAAAGGGCGCGUAGGCGGUUUAAUAAGUUAGGAGUGAAAUCCCGGGGCUUAACCUCGGAACUGCUUCUAAAACUGUUAAGCUAGAGUGUGGUAGAGGAUGAUGGAAUUUCUAGUGUAGAGGUAAAAUUCUUAGAUAUUAGAAGGAACACCAGUGGCGAAAGCUGUCAUCUGGGCCAUUUACUGACGCUGAGGCGCGAAAGCGUGGGGAGCAAACA
rnacentral:rRNA from 1 species